rnacentral:rRNA from 1 species
UACGUAGGGUGCGAGCGUUGUCCGGAAUUACUGGGCGUAAAGAGCUCGUAGGUGGUUUGUCGCGUUGUUCGUGAAAACCGGGGGCUUAACCCUCGGCGUGCGGGCGAUACGGGCAGACUUGAGUACUGCAGGGGAGACUGGAAUUCCUGGUGUAGCGGUGGAAUGCGCAGAUAUCAGGAGGAACACCGGUGGCGAAGGCGGGUCUCUGGGCAGUAACUGACGCUGAGGAGCGAAAGUGUGGGGAGCGAACAGG